rnacentral:sRNA from 1 species
AUGCCACCCCUGGAGACUGAAGCCCUCUCUUUACUCAUAGAACAGAUACCAUGUGGGCAGCAGUGGUGAAAGCAGCCCUUCUCAAGUGCCUUGCAGGACCAUGGCGAAAGGUGAGGGGGCGGUUCAUGCUCCAUGCCCAUUCCAAUCUUUAGCCUCU